GAUGAACGCUGGCGGCGUGCCUAAUACAUGCAAGUCGAGCGAACAGAUGAGGAGCUUGCUCCUCUGACGUUAGCGGCGGACGGGUGAGUAACACGUGGAUAACCUACCUAUAAGACUGGGAUAACUUCGGGAAACCGGAGCUAAUACCGGAUAAUAUAUUGAACCGCAUGGUUCAAUAGUGAAAGACGGUUUUGCUGUCACUUAUAGAUGGAUCCGCGCCGCAUUAGCUAGUUGGUAAGGUAACGGCUUACCAAGGCAACGAUGCGUAGCCGACCUGAGAGGGUGAUCGGCCACACUGGAACUGAGACGCGGUCCAGACUCCUACGGGAGGCAGCAGUAGGGAAUCUUCCGCAAUGGGCGAAAGCCUGACGGAGCAACGCCGCGUGAGUGAUGAAGGUCUUCGGAUCGUAAAACUCUGUUAUUAGGGGAGAACAAAUGUGUAAGUAACUAUGCACGUCUUGACGGUACCUAAUCAGAAAGCCACGGCUAACUACGUG
rnacentral:rRNA from 1 species